UACGUAGGGGGGCUAGCGUUGUCCGGAAUCAUUGGGCGUAAAGCGCGUGUAGGCGGUUUGGUAAGUCCGCUGUGAAAGUCGGGGGCUCAACCCUCGAAUGCCGGUGGAUACUGUCGGGCUAGAGUACGGAAGAGGCGAGUGGAAUUCCUGGUGUAGCGGUGAAAUGCGCAGAUAUCAGGAGGAACACCGGUGGCGAAGGCGGCCUGCUGGGCAGUAGCUGACGCUGAUGCGCGACAGCGUGGGGAGCAAACAGG
rnacentral:rRNA from 1 species